CAGGUGUAUUAAUGAACCAUGCAGGUGUAUUACUGGACCAUACAGGUGUAUUAAUGGACCAUACAGGUGUAUUAAUGAACCAUACAGGUGUAUUAAUGGACCAUACAGGUGUAUUAAUGGACCAUACAGGUGUAUUAAUGGACCAUACAGGUGUAUUACUGGACCAUACAGGUGUAUUAAUGGACCAUACAGGUGUAUUAAUGAACCAUACAGGUGUAUUAAUGGACCAUACAGGUGUAUUAAUGGACCAUACAGGUGUAUUAAUGGAUCAUACAGGUGUAUUAAUGAACCAUGCAGGUGUAUUAAUGGAUCAUACAGGUGUAUUAAUGGACUGUACAGGUGUAUUACUGGACCAUACAGGUGUAUUAAUGGACCAUACAGGUGUAUUAAUGAACCAUACAGGUGUAUUAAUGGACCAUACAGGUGUAUUAAUGGACCAUACAGGUGUAUUAAUGGACCAUACAGGUGUAUUAAUGGAUCAUACAGGUGUAUUGAUGGCCCAUACAGGUGUAUUAAUGGAUCAUACAGGUGUAUUAAUGGACUGUACAGGUGUAUUUACUGGAGUCAGUGGAUUGUCUUGACGUACUUAUAAAGACCACAUAAAUCUCUCCCCCAGUCUAAUCGUCACCUUAUCACGGUGGAGGGUUUGAGUGUCUCUGUGAUCCUGGUG